GACGAACGCUGGCGGCGUGCUUAACACAUGCAAGUCGAACGGAAAGGCCCUGCUUUUGUGGGGUGCUCGAGUGGCGAACGGGUGAGUAACACGUGAGUAACCUGCCCUUGACUUUGGGAUAACUUCAGGAAACUGGGGCUAAUACCGGAUAGGAGCUCCUGCUGCAUGGUGGGGGUUGGAAAGUUUCGGCGGUUGGGGAUGGACUCGCGGCUUAUCAGCUUGUUGGUGGGGUAGUGGCUUACCAAGGCUUUGACGGGUAGCCGGCCUGAGAGGGUGACCGGCACAAUGGGGCCUGAGAUACGGCCCAGACUCCUACGGGAGGCAGCGGUGGGGAAUAUGCACAAUGGGCGGAAGCCUGAUGCAGCAACGCCGCGUGCGGGAUGACGGCCUUCGGGUUGUAAACCGCUUUCGCCUGUGACGAAGCGUGAGUGACGGUAAUGGGUAAAGAAGCACCGGCUAACUACGUG
rnacentral:rRNA from 1 species